AUGCCGCCGAUGGCGACCACGACGGCGACGGCGGCUGCGGCCGACUCCGCGGCGCGCCGCUUCGCCUCGGCCUGCGGCGUGCUCAGCCAGUACGUCAGGGCGUCCGGCGUCUCGGCGCCCGGCGUGCUGGGGGCCGCCCUCCAGGAGCCCGGCUCGCCGGCGGACGGGGCGCAGGAGCUGACCAUCUUCUACGGGGGGAGGGUGGUGGUGCUCGACGGCUGCACGCCGGCCAGGGCCGCCGAGCUGAUCCGGUUCGCCGCCGCGGCGGCGGCGGCCUCGCAGGGAGCGCCCGUCGCACAGCCGCCCGCGCCGGCGUUCGUCGACAUGCCGAUCGCGAGGAAGGCGUCGCUGCAGCGGUUCCUGUCGAAGCGCAAGGACAGGUCCGCCGGCGCCGCCCCCGCCCCCGCCCCCGAGGGUCCGCCGUACGCGCAUCAUGAGGAGGAGCCGGCGCCGCCAAAGAAGAAGGGCAAGACGGAGGCUUCUUCCUGGCUUGCCCUGGGUAGCUUAGGGGACAUGCACGCGCCGUGA
rnacentral:rRNA from 1 species